CAACAAUGAUUUUAUUGAUUGUAAAAAUGAUUCUAAAAAAAGGUAUGGAACACAGUUAAAGGCUUACUUGGUACAUCUAUCUCAUCAUGCCCAUCUAGUGUGGAGGUUGACAGGAGAAUAAUAACAGAACCAGUUGAUAUUGCCAAUCAUUUUGCAGAUUUUUUACCACAGAAAAUGAAAUUACUGAGCAACAAUGUAGACAUACAUUCUUCCAAACAAGCUAUUGUCCAAUGGAUUGAUGAUCAUAUUAUGAGCAAUAAAAUCUGCUCUUUUAGUCUACAAACGGUGUCAGUGGAGGAGGUGUUAAACCUAUUGAAGUCAUUACCUGCUGGUAAACCUACAGGUUAUGGUCUUAUGGACAAUUUUUUUGCUUCGCUGUGCUGCUCCCCAGAUUGCAGGUCCACUGAGAUACAUAUUUAAUUGGUCACUGGAAAAGGGGCUGUUUGCAAAUGUAUGGAAGCAUGCGAAACUGUGUCCUAUUCCGAAAGACUGCAAAGAACCCAUUACUCCUGCCAAUAGUCGACCAAUUAGUCUACUCCCUACACUCAGUAAGAUAUUGGAGGGUAUUGUGAGUAGACAAAUGUGGGAGUACAUGGAAAAGAAUGAUCUGAUUACAGCCAAUCAGCAUGCGUAUCGCAAAAACCAUUCCACUACCACUGCAUUGGUUGACAUGACUGACCAGUGGCUCAAUGCUAUGGAUAAUGGAAAAUUUGUAGGUGUACUAUUUUUAGAUUUCAGUGCAGCAUUUGAUUUAUUAGAUCAUGAAAUCAUUUUGACAAAAUUAAUGCAUUAUGGUUUUAAGGAGGUAGCAUUGAAUUGGGUACAGUCAUAUCUAACUGACAGGAAACAGUCCACCUAUAUCAAUGGUUCAUUUUCUUCCCCUAAUGUGUUAAACUGUGGAAUACCGCAGGGCAGCUGCCUUGGGCCACUUCUUUACUUAAUAUAUACCAACAACCGUCCCUAUGCCUUGGUUGAAACUCAAGCUACUAUAUUUGCAGAUGAUACUACAAUUUAUGCAGCAAGACAAUCGGUUCAACAGCUAUAGCAGGCUUUACAAGGAGAUUUGGACAAUAUCAGGAAGUGGGUUUGCCAAAACAAACUUGUUUUAAACACCAAGAAAACCAAAGUUUUGUUGGUCUGUUCAACUAGGAAAAGGCCAAAACACCAUGGGAUACAAUUAAGUAUGAGAGGAGUACAAAUUGAAGAAGUGGCAGAAACCAAACUACUGGGAGUGCAGCUAGACAACUGCUUAUCAUGGUCGUCUCAAACACCUUGUCACGCCCUGGUCUAAGUAUUUUGUGUUUUUCUUCAUGUAUUGGGUCAGGCCAGGGUGUGGCAUGGGGUUUUUGUAUUGUGUUGUGUUUUGUCUUGGGGUUUUGGUGUGUGUGUAUUGGGAUUGUAGCUAGUGGGGUUAUCUAGCAAGGUCUAUGGCUGUCUGGAGUGGUUCUCAAUCAGAGGCAGGUGUUUAUCAUUGUCUCUGAUUGGGAACCAUAUUUAGGCAGCCAUAUUCUUUGAGUUUGUCGUGGGUGAUUGUCCUUAGUGUCCUGAUAUCCUUGUUCUGUGUUAGUUUACACAAGUAUAGGCUGUUUCGGUUUUCGUUACAUUUGUUUUGUUUUGUAGUGUGUUUGUCAUUAAACAUGGAUCGCAAUCUACACGCUGCAUUUUGGUCCGACUCUCCUUCACCACAAGAGAACCGUAACAGAAUCACCCACCACAAACGGACCAAGCAGCGUGUCAACAGGCAGGAGCCGCAGGAGAAGCAACAAAGGCAGCAACAGCGGCGCAAUGAGGAUUGGACAUGGGACGAUAUAUUGGAUGGCAAGGGUUGCUACACAUGGGAGGAGAUCCUGGCGGGAAGGGAUCGCCUUCCAUGGGAACAGGUGGAGGCACUUAGGAGAGCAGAGGCAGCCGGAGAGAGGAGCCGGCGAUACGAGGGAACACAGUUGGCAAGGAAGCCCGGGAGUCAGCCCCAAAAAUUUCUUGGGGGAGGGCUCACAGGGAGUAUGGCUACGCCAGGCAGGAGACCUGCGCAAACUCCCUGUGCUUACCGGGGGGCUAGAGAGACCGGGCAGGCACCGUGCUAUGCAGUGGUGCGCAAGGUGUCCCCAGUGCGGGUGCAUAGCCCGGUGCGGUAUAUUCCAGCUCCUCGUAUCGGCCAGGCUAGAGUGGGCAUCGAGCCAGGUAAGGUUGGGCAGGCUCGGUGCUCAAGAGCUCCAGUGCGCCUGCACGGUCCGGUCUAUCCAGUACCACCUCCACACCCCAGCCCUCCGGUAGCAGCUCCCCGCACCAGGCUUCCUGUGAGUGUCCUCGGUCCAGUACCACCAGCACCACGCAUCAGGCCUACAGUGCGCCUCGCCUCUCCAGCGCUGUCGGAGUCUCCCGCCUGUUCAGCGCUGUCAGAG
ensembl:lncRNA